UACAGGACUGAGGAGACCCUGAUAGCAGAGUUGGCAUCUCAUCUAGGACUGUUCAGUUUGCCAGUAACCCCAUCCUUGCCAUGUCCUGACGGAGCAGACCCCGCAGAUCCAGCGCUAGGAGGGUUCCAGGUGCGGAUGCUGUUUUGUACUUCCUGCCGCUGCCUCGAUUUCGUCCCUGCAAGUGUUCAUGAAGGAAUGGAUGUCAGAGCCCAGAAACGAAAGAGACUCCCCACUCUACAAAGAUAAAGGAGCUGUUUGAUCUCAAGAUUCACUGCACUGUGUCCCAGAUGUGUGUGUGUGUGUGUGUGUGUGUGUGUGUGUGUGUGUGUUUGUGAGACACCAUGUGUGUCUUGAGUCACACUGGGGCCCUGACCACAGUUCUUCCUCCUUGGGUGUCCGGGAGACCAGGCCCUAGAGGGGAACACGAGCUUGCAUGGGUCCAAUGGCAGCAAGCCCGGCCAGUCCUGAGCUAAAGCUCUAGACCUCAGACCUCAGGCGGUGCCAUCGAAUCCAUCCUGACCUGCUGGCCUCUCCAUGCCGAGGAACGUGCGGAGCCAGAGAAAGAAAACCUCUCCGCUCUGCUCUCCUCUUUCCUCCCAGAGAUCAGGGCGUGUUUGGCGAGUCCUCUGCAAACUGGCCGUUACUGUGCUCCAGGGCAGAGGCCGUGGGCACGUGACCCACCGCUUCUUUAGGCCAAGGGCCUGGGGCAGGGUUUAUCUGCUCUGGGCAGGAAUGGGUUGGGUGCUGUUCCACUAGAGAAACCAAUACCAGGUUGCCCUUUAUCCUGAGCAGAGGUUGUAGAAUUUGACUCAGUUUAUCAUUUAAAUGCUCUAAAAAGUCAAUAAGGCAAAAAAGAGUACAUCAAAACAACUUAUUACAUUAAUAGGGUAAAAAUAUUCUUUCUUAUAUGCUUUAGACUCUUAAAGGAUGGAGGACAACUAGUUUAUUUCACAUAUAACCUUUUUCUUUCACAUUUAGUUUAUUUUAUAUCAGUUUAUUUCCAUAGAAUCUUCUUUUAU